rnacentral:rRNA from 11 species
AUUGCAGAACACAUUGAACAUCGACACCUUGAACGCACAUGGCGGCCUCGGGUCCAUCCCGGGGCCACGCCCGUCUGAGGGUCGGCG